rnacentral:rRNA from 1 species
AGAGUUUGAUCCUGGCUCAGAGCGAACGUUAGCGGCAGGCUUAACACAUGCAAGUCGAGCGAGAAAGGGGCUUCGGCUCCGAGUAAAGCGGCGGACGGGUGCGUAACACGUGGAUAAUCUGCCUCGUGGCGGGGGACAACAGUCCGAAAGGACUGCUAAUACCGCAUGUCAGGUCGGAAACUCCGGUUUCUGACGAAAAAAGAGGGCGUCCGCAAGGAGCUCUCACCACGAGAUGAGUCCGCGUCCCAUCAGCUAGUUGGCGGUGUAAUGGACCACCAAGGCUUAGACGGGUAGCUGGUCUGAGAGGAUGACCAGCCACACUGGGGACUGAGACACGGCCCAGACUCCUACGGGAGGCAGCAGUGGGGAAUAUUGGACAAUGGGCGAAGCCUGAUCCAGCCAUGCCGCGUGAGUGAUGAAGGCCUCGGUCGUAAGACUCUGUGGGGUAGGGACGGAAAAGACGGU